UGGGGAAUAUUGCACAAUGGGCGCAAGCCUGAUGCAGCCAUGCCGCGUGUAUGAAGAAGGCCUUCGGGUUGUAAAGUACUUUCAGCGGGGAGGAAGGGAGUAAAGUUAAUACCUUUGCUCAUUUACGUUACCCGCAGAAGAAGCACCGGCUAACUCCGUGCCAGCAGCCGCGGUAAUACGGAGGGUGCAAGCGUUAAUCGGAAUUACUGGGCGUAAUGCGCACGCAGGCGGUUUGUUAAGUCAGAUGUGAAAUCCCCGGGCUCAACCUGGGAACGGCAUCUGUGACUGGCAAGCUUGAGUCUCGUAGAGGGGGGUAGAAUUCCAGGUGUAGCGGUGAAAUGCGUAGAGAUCUGGAGGAAUACCGGUGGCGAAGGCGGCCCCCUGGACGAAGACUGACGCUAAGGUGCGAAAGCGUGGGGAGCAAACAGG
rnacentral:rRNA from 1 species